GUUCCAUAAUCCUUUUCUAAAAAUUCUUUGUGUGCAUGGUGCAUGAUUCAUUCAUCAUAUCUCAUAAUAAUGAUCAAGAAGGGGCUUCAUCAUGAGAAAAAAAAUUCCCACACCAGAACCAAUGAAAAUAAAAAAGAGGAGGGAUGAGAGGUUUCCAGCUAACAAAUGAUUAAUAUGGUUCCAUCUCUUAUCAUAAUGCAUGAUAAUACUUUAAGAGAAAAAUUAUUAAAAACUUGCUUUUAUUACUGUGUAGUAGAUCAUUUAAAAAUUUUCCAUAUGAAAUAAGAGAACUGUUUCCAAUUCUCUUCUCACAUAUGGAAUAUUCUUUUAAUCUCAAUCCUCCUAUACAAUAUUCGAUAAAUAUUAGACAGCAAAUAGAAUUGGAUAAUCAUUAGACAGGCAGUAGGGGAUGUGAUUCCCAUUAUUUAUUGCCCUGUGAAGGCAGAAGAAGAAGCAGAACUUCGGUUGAGAAGUGAAAGGUAAUAAAUUCCAAACAUCAGUAUGUGG
rnacentral:lncRNA from 1 species